rnacentral:rRNA from 3 species
CACUGCCCGGUAGCUAAAUGCGGAAGAGAUAAGUGCUGAAAGCAUCUAAGCACGAAACUUGCCCCGAGAUGAGUUCUCCCUGAGACUUUAAGUCUCCUGAAGGAACGUUGAAGACGACGACGUUGAUAGGCCGGGUGUGUAAGCGCAGCGAUGCGUUGAGCUAACCGGUACUAAUGAACCGUGAGGCUUAACCUUACAACGCCGAAG